GUCCUUGUGGUGUAGUGGUUAACACCGUUGGUCCAGAUCCAAGAGAGCCUGGGUUCAAAUCCCAGCAGGGUCA